rnacentral:rRNA from 1 species
UAGGGAAUCUUCCGCAAUGGACGCAAGUCUGACGGAGCAACGCCGCGUGAGUGAAGAAGGAUUUCGGUUCGUAAAACUCUGUUGUUAGAGAAGAACAGCGCAUAGAGUAACUGUUAUGCGUGUGACGGUAUCUAACCAGAAAGCCACGGCUAACUACGUGCCAGCAGCCGCGGUAAUACGUAGGUGGCAAGCGUUGUCCGGAUUUAUUGGGCGUAAAGCGAGCGCAGGCGGUCAAUUAAGUGUGAUGUGAAAGCCCCCGGCUCAACCGGGGAGGGUCAUUGGAAACUGGUUGAAUUGAGUGCAGAAGAGGAGAGUGGAAUUCCAUGUGUAGCGGUGAAAUGCGUAGAUAUAUGGAGGAACACCAGUGGCGAAGGCGACUCUCUGGUCUGUAACUGACGCUGAGGUUCGAAAGCGUGGGUAGCAAACAGG